AUCGGAUUACUGGGCGUAAGCGUACGCAGGCGGUUAGUUAAGUCNUAUGUGAAAGCCCCGGGCUCAACCUGGGAACUGCAUUUGAAACUGGCUAACUAGAGUGCGGCAGAGGGUGGUAGAAUUUCAGGUGUAGCGGUGAAAUGCGUAGAGAUCUGAAGGAAUACCGAUGGCGAAGGCAGCCACCUGGGCCGACACUGACGCUCAUGUACGAAAGCGUGGGUAGCAAACAGGAUUAGAUACCCUGGUAGUCCACGCCGUAAACGAUGUCUACUAGCAGCUCGCCUCGUUAGAGGGGUUUUGCGCAGCUAACGCGUUAAGUAGACCGCCUGGGGAGUACGGCCGCAAGGUUAAAACUCAAAUGAAUUGACGGGGGCCCGCACAAGCGGUGGAGCAUGUGGUUUAAUUCGAUGCAACGCGAAGAACCUUACCAUCCCUUGACAUCCAGAGAAUUUUCUAGAGAUAGAUUAGUGCCUUCGGGAACUCUGAGACAGGUGCUGCAUGGCUGUCGUCAGCUCGUGUUGUGAAAUGUUGGGUUAAGUCCCGCAACGAGCGCAACCCUUAUCCUUAGUUGCUAGCAGUUAGGCUGAGAACUCUAAGGAGACUGCCGGUGACAAACCGGAGGAAGGUGGGGACGACGUCAAGUCAUCAUGGCCCUUACGGGAUGGGCUACACACGUGCUACAAUGGCAAGUACAAAGGGUUGCAAACUCGCGAGAGUAAGCGGAUCCCAUAAAGCUUGUCGUAGUCCGGAUUGGAGUCUGCAACUCGACUCCAUGAAGUCGGAAUCGCUAGUAAUCGUAGAUCAGAAUGCUACGGUGAAUACGUUCCCGGGCCUUGUACACACCGCCCGUCACACCAUGGGAGUGGGCUGCAAAAGAAGUGGGUAGUUUAACCUUCGGGAGGACGCUCACCACUUUGUGGUUCAUGACUGGGGUGAAGUCGUAACAAGGUAACCGUAAAGGGCGAAUU
rnacentral:rRNA from 1 species